AUUGAACGCUGGCGGCAGGCCUAACACAUGCAAGUCGAGCGAGCGGCGGACGGGUGAGUAAUGUAUGGGGACUGCCCGAUAGAGGGGGAUAACUACUGGAAACGGUGGCUAAUACCGCAUACUAUCGGAUAACCCAUAUGGGAUUAGCUAGUAGGUGGGGUAAAGGCUCACCUAGGCGACGAUCUCUAGCUGGUCUGAGAGGAUGAUCAGCCACACUGGGAAUGAGACACGGCCCCGACUCCUACGGAGGCAGCAGUGGGGAAUAUUGCACAAUGGGCGCAAGCCUGAUGCAGCCAUGCCGCGGGUAUUAAGAAGGCCUUCGAGUUGUAAAGUACUUUCCGCGAGGAGGCGUUACUCGCAGAAGAAGCACCGGGUAACUCCGUGCCAGCCGCAGCGGUAAUUC
rnacentral:rRNA from 1 species